rnacentral:rRNA from 1 species
UACGUAGGGUGCGAGCGUUGUUCGGAAUUACUGGGCGUAAAGCGUGCGCAGGCGGUUCGUUGUGUCGGCGGUGAAAGCCCCGGGCUUAACCUGGGAAUGGCCGUUGAAACUGGCGAACUGGAGUGUGGCAGAGGGGGGUGGAAUUCCGCGUGUAGCAGUGAAAUGCGUAGAGAUGCGGAGGAACACCGAUGGCGAAGGCAGCCCCCCUGGGCUAACACUGACGCUCAGGCACGAAAGCGUGGGGAGCAAACAGG